UACCGGUAUGUUCGCGUGCACGGCAGGUACGGAUUCCUUGGUUCGUACAUUGGUUGGUUAAUUUGUGCUAACACCAGCUUAUUGCGCUUCAAUAUCUCGCGUUAUUUAACUUGGGGUGUAAGCCUGAAAGCUAGGUUUCAGUCGUGAGCCAUGUGGAACACGUCUGCAUCGAAAUGGGAGCCGGGUCCUGCUGCGACUGGGGACAGCAAUACCGACAUGCAGUAAUGAGGAUGGCACCAGUAUAAAGCAACACACUCCAUGCACUAAACAGAAGCUGCUGCCUGCUACAACAAGGUCAUUGUGUGGACUUUGGCUGCUACUACAAGAGUCUGUGCCAAGUACAUCUUGGUCAUCACGGGAGCCCCCAUCUACACCAACAGGAAGGGGCUGGAGCUGAAUUCACAAGACCACGAACAAAGAAGCCAUUCCAGAAUUAUUUGGAUGAGAUAUCAAGUCUACGGACGACUGUUUCAAGAGUGAAAAGAGUCUACGCCAUCAUUCCACCAGCACGGAUAUUGGCCGAGUCAUCCAGGUACCUCAACAACAAAAAUUAUUUGUCUUCAGAUGUACCUGCAACCUCUGAACAAGCACAGACGACGCUGGCUAAGAGUGUUCUGUCAGCUUGCCCUUCCUUAGGGAGCUCCCUGGCCUUGCCAAUUCUUGCCAAGUAUAAUUUUGUUUCAAUGAA